UCUUUCUCCACAUCCUCGCCAGCAUCUG
rnacentral:piRNA from 2 species